AAGCUCAUUUCGGCAGCAUGUAUACUAAAAUUGGAAUGAUACAGAGAAGAUUAGCAUGGCCCCUGCACAAGAAUGACACACAAAUUCGUGAAGAGACUCAAAGGGCA
rnacentral:snRNA from 1 species